rnacentral:rRNA from 1 species
GACGAACGCUGGCGGCGUGCUUAACACAUGCAAGUCGAACGGAAAGGCCCUGCUUUUGUGGGGUGCUCGAGUGGCGAACGGGUGAGUAACACGUGAGUAACCUGCCCUUGACUUUGGGAUAACUUCAGGAAACUGGGGCUAAUACCGGAUAGGAGCUCCUGCUGCAUGGUGUGGGUUGGAAAGUUUCGGCGGUUGGGGAUGGACUCGCGGCUUAUCAGCUUGUUGGUGGGGUAGUGGCUUACCAAGGGUUUGACGGGUAGCCGGCCUGAGAGGGUGACCGGCCACAUUGGGACUGAGAUACGGACCAGACUCCUACGGGAGGCAGCAGUGGGGAAUAUGGCGCAAUGGGCGGAAGUCUGAUGCAGCAACGCCGCGUGCGGGAUGACGGCCUUCGGGUUGUAAACCGCUUUCGCCUGUGACGAAGCGUGAGUGACGGUAAUGGGUAAAGAAGCACCGGCUAACUACGUG